rnacentral:lncRNA from 1 species
UUUUUUCUGUAAUUAUAGUGACACAAAUAACACAAUUGUAUUUUUUAUGAAAUAUGAAACAUUAUAUUAUAGGAUGAUAUUUUCAUUCCACUUCCCCUGACCUAUUUUUAAGCCUAUUAAAUUUCUUUCUUGUGACUAGUGAGAUAAUCCCAUAGAGAGUAGAGGUGUUGCCUCCAAACUCAGUGAUUCGCUGGACCUGCAUGGUAGAAAGGAAGGGCUGAUCUUGAAAGUUGACCUCUGACCUCCACACAGACAUUCUUCGAGACAGAAAUAAAAAACUUACUAAAUCUAAAUUUAUUUUAUAAGUAUUUUGGCAUGUGAGUAUGUAUUUAUACACACACACACACACACACACAUAUAUAAUAUUAGGUGUAUUUUUCUCUGACUUGGUUUUUUUUUUUUAAGAUUUAUUUAUUAUAUGUAAGUACACUGUAGCUGUCUUCAGACAUCAGAGGAGGGAAUCAGGUCUUGUUACAGAUGGUUGUGAGCCACCAUGUGAUUGCUGGGAUUUGAACUCAGGACCUCUGGAAGAGCAGUCAGUGCUCUUUACCACUGAGCCAUGUCUCCAGCCCUCUCUGACUUGUUUAAGAAAGCAUAUAUAAUAUGCUUAUAUUUUAUGUACGUGAGAUUUAACCAUUAUAUUUUUUUAAAUAGUUUUUAUCGAUACAUGAAGUGAAAGUUAGUUAAAUUUUUAAAAAUACUUUAUUCAUAUAGUAAAUUAUAUUAAAAAUCUGGUCAGUUUUAGUGUUAUCCAUGUUAGCAGUAAAGAAGCCUAAGAAUGCUUAGUGGUGGAGCACUCGCCUGCCAGCACAUGGCAAACGUAAACUGUGUUCUGGCAUGCUAGACUAAUAGCACAGCCACUCAGAUGGAGACCAUGCAGCUGGUGAUGAAGCUCCGAGCCACCAGAAUCGUGAUAGUAUUGGGCUUUGAGGAUGAUCACACGUGUUCUCUUGCAGGUGUGAAAUUCCUGCUUGUGGCCUUUUGAACCAUUGUGAGCCAUAUUAAAGGUUGAAUUUGUAGUAUUGCAAUUAUAUUGUUAUUCACUUGACCUGGAUUUCUUGUUUUUUUUAAGUUGAUAAAGUUAGAAUAUAGCUAGUUCAUCUCUGACCUCCAGACUACAAGUGAGUGCGCUCUCGGGUGAGCAUGUGGUGAGUAACUAUAAUGCAGGUGGCUCCUACACUGACUGACUGUGCCUCCCUCAGUCCAACAGUGCUUUCCAGUAGAAACUGAAUGUUUGUGUCUGUGUGAGGUUUUACUUCUGUGUUGCUCACCUUCAUGUGAAAAUGAGAUUUAUGCCCUUGCUUCUCUUAUUCUCUUGUCCCCUUGCUCCCUUCCUCUCUCCACGUGGUCAUGACCGGCCUCCACUUCUCUAUUCUCUCCUUCUCUCUGCCUUUUUCUGCCUCUACUACUCUCUUAACUCUCCUCCCCAUGUCCUGAAUAAACUCUAUUCUAUACU